UCAGUAGAUGUGCUAAUAGCAUCUGCAAUCCAGCACAGCCAUGUGUCUUCAAUGAAGAAAAUGUGGGUGUUUACUUGACAGAGUUUCUCAGCUCUACAAUAGGGUGAUAUUGGUUCCUCCCUAAUCUGUAUCCAAUUUUACAACUGAACUUUUACCUUGAAAAGCCUAGCGUGGGAAAAUAAAGAGAACUAUAAAAACAGUCAUAAAUAAAAGCCAGUAGCACAUUUCUAAGGCAUAGGUGCCUGCAUGUGCAAUGUAAUCACAUCAACUUGUCUUUAAAAUUGUGUUGUUAAAAAAUUGUGUAAGAGGUAACAAGAGGUAACAGAGCAGAAAUAGUGAGAGGACAGUUGUGUAAUUAGUGAACAAAUCUCUUUUCUUGGAGGGGAUAUACUGUCUCUAUUACAUAACUCUGCCGAAGUCUCUAUAAGGGUGAUGAAGACAGUAGGGUAUGGUGGAAGGAAAAGUAGCUUGGGAACCAGGCUAUUUUUUUUAAUGUUCUUAAGCUCUUAGGCUAUUUGGCAUUGGGUUUUUAUUACAUACAACUGUCGUUGUGGCUAUGAUAGUGGGUGUGUAGGGUAGAGGAGGGGAAAAUAAAUUGACUACAUUCAUUUUAGCUAGAAAAAGAAAUCCAAAUUCUGAUGCCCUGGAAUAGAUUAUAUCAAUCUUUUAAAUAAUUCUAAUUGUAUACUUUUAGGCCUAUUGUCCAUACGUGAACCUGUCCUGAGGUCAGGGUAAUAGAGUCCUAAAGCUGGCUGAAUUAUUUGUUCACUCUGGUAUCCAGGAUAAGGGAGUGGUCAGUGUUGGCGAUUCACAAUGAUUUGCUUCCCCAUUGGAAAGAUGGGCUUUGUUUUCAGAAGAAGUGAGUACUGGACAGAGAAGGACAAGAGAUGUCCAGCAAAUCUUUGAAACCCUAUCAGCCUUGAUAGGCAAUCUUCCCUAAAGGUACACAGCUCUGAACAUGCCAAUACUCUAUUUAAAAACCAGUAAGGUAGAGUGGAAGGCAUAGCUGAGUGAAACUGAAACCCUCUUUGUGCUGGAGGUUUCUUUCUGACAGCACGCCUCCGCCCCUGUCCAAAAGGCCUGAUGUGAAAUAUUGCAACAAAGUCAAAAUCAACUGGCAGAUGCUAAUAUUUUUCUGGCUUUAUGAAGGAAUGGCGAGGUUUAGGCUUUCAUGAUCUGGAACAUUCUAAAAGCAUUCUCUCCACAUGGGCUCAUGUUCGGGAGGCUGGAGACUAGUGAUGUCAGCCCUGAGUUUUCAUCAUGUGGCAAUCAGAGCUCUAGAAGCACAGGUCAGACUUCCAGGCUCUCCUGUUGCUCUGCCUCUGGCGUUACGUGCCUGAACUGAAUUGGCAAACCAUUCUUUGCUACCAGGAUGCAGAAAAUCAGGUUUCUCAUUUUCCAAAUAAUUCUUCAUUUCAAAAGGUUGGGGCAAGAUUUGCAGAAGAGAGUUGGAAGGAACAAACAUUUAUUAAGACAUCAGUGAAUGAAUGUGGACUGUGAGCUCCAAAGACCCAUAUUUGAAUACCAAAUUUGCCACUUAUUUUCUGGGUAACUUUAAGGAAAUUGCUUCCCUGCUUUGAGGCUCUGUUUUCCCCUCCUCUAGAGAAUGAGGAUGUUAUUAUUUAUCCUGCUGGCUUGCUGUGUGGCUUGAAUGAAGUUCUCACUGCAAAGCAUGUGAUCCAGACUCAGGUACAGGUUGAUUCCUACAGUCAAAGGUUCAGGAGAAAUGACAGCUAUGGUGAGCUCUCACCUCCUGCAGGCUGUAGUAAGCCAGUGUGUAGCGAGAAAAUGGUGUAAAAACUACUGAUACGGUUUAGCUGUGCC